GGGGUACCAUGGUUCAAGGAAAGGGUCAGGAGAGAGUGGUGGAGCACUUACUUUGAAUGUAGAAGGUCCCAGGUUCAAUUCCUGGCAUCCCCA